rnacentral:sRNA from 1 species
CAAAAGUUUGGAUUAUUGUUCCAGAUAUUUGACUCAUGCACACUCUGCAGAGGGGAUCGCACGUUGGCAAUACCCUAAUGGAUGUCCCGGACAUCUAGGCCCAAUCAGGAUAUUUGCUGUUGUGCCUUGCAUAUCCUGACGGGCGAGGUGUAUUGGUUGGAAUUCCACCAGUAAGCCCAAUCCUUUUCUAGUGUUUGUUUGCUACAUAAGCCAUUUCUGGAGGACCGGGAGCAAUUAAAAAAGGCAAGCCCAACUCAGCUCUUCGUCAAUUAUUUCCUCACUGCUCCAUCCGCCAGGUCGUCAAUCAGCAUAUCGGUUAACAAUAGCCGUACAUAUCCGUGCGCAUGGCGAGCAAAAUACAGCGGAGGAACUGCCUGGCGGCUAUUUUCCUGUUUGACCGCUCGAUUUCGUUACGCGAUGACCGAAACGCUAUUUUGAGGAUAGAACAAUAGGAAGCGAUUUCCGAACACCGAUUGCAAAUUCACCUUGACGAUACUCCGUAAUAAUGCCCAACAUCUACCAUCGCCCACUCUAACCUCAUAUUUUGAGCAAGUCAAGAUGUUUUUGGAUCUUCCCCAAUGAUAAUCCAGCGGUUGGAGGUCUCUAGUUAACCUGGUAUUCGGACCCGUUUUCCGCUCCCAUUGUCAUGGAGCUGGAUACCACGAUUCUUUCGGCGUGGCUAAACGCUAUCUCUAUUUGGUAUUUAAUGAGCGAUAGAAAGGAAAUGAAGGUGAAGUCAAUCCUAACUUUUCUUUCCGGUACUAUUGCCGAAAAUAUUGAUAUUACGCCCC